rnacentral:rRNA from 1 species
GGCGACCGGCGCGACGGGUGAGUAACGCGUACUCCAACCUUCCCUAUACUAGAGAAUAGCCCGGCGAAAGUCGGAUUAAUGCUCUAUGUUCUUCUUUUGAUGGCAUCUGACGAGAAGCAAAGGUUUACCGGUAUAGGAUGGGGAUGCGUCUGAUUAGGUUGUUGGCGGGGUAACGGCCCACCAAGCCUACGAUCAGUAGGGGUUCUGAGAGGAAGGUCCCCCACAUUGGUACUGAGACACGGACCAAACUCCUACGGGAGGCAGCAGUGAGGAAUAUUGGUCAAUGGGCGAGAGCCUGAACCAGCCAAGUAGCGUGCAGGAUGACUGCCCUAUGGGUUGUAAACUGCUUUUAUAGGGGAAUAAAGUGAGGUAUGCAUACCUUUUUGUAUGUACCCUAUGAAUAAGGACCGGCUAAUUCCGUGCCAGCAGCCGC